rnacentral:rRNA from 1 species
UACAGGGGGUGCAAACGUUGCUCGGAAUCAUUGGGCGUAAAGCGCACGUAGGCGGUCUGUUAUGUCGGAUGUGAAAGCCCUUGGCUCAACUGAGGAAGUGCAUCCGAAACUGGCAGGCUAGAGUACUAAAGAGGGUCGCGGAAUUCCCGGUGUAGAGGUGAAAUGCGUAGAUAUCAGGAGGAACACCGGUGGUGUAGACGGCUUUCUGGACCAUAACUGACGCUGAGACACGAAAGCGUGGGUAGCAAACAGG